GAUAGUACAGGAGCUAUUAAGGUCUGUAGCUUUUGCUUUCUGUCUAUAAUUGAGUGCACAAGCAAGAUAUGUAAAUUUUAAAUUAGCUUUUGCAUUCUAGUCAUGUUUUUCAUUAGAUGGACUGUAUCCAUAUAUGCAGGCAGCUGGUAUUUGUGGUGUCUUUUUAUGUCCUUGACAAUAAGGGUAAUUUAUUUUGGCUUCAUGAGGAGAUGAGUUUUUCACUGUAGGUGGUUGAGAUGUUGAAAUCUUACUCUCUCACAAAGCGAAGUGUUUAUGAAAGGCUUAAGCAUGUUUUAAUGCUUCAUUGUAGUUAUGAUAUUUGUGUUGUAAGCUGGGUGCCCCAUGAAUGGUGAACCUGUGGAUGUUGUGAGACCUUAAAACAUUUUGCAGAGGGAUAUUACCACCUUCUUUAUCACUAACAUGAUUUUAGAAAAA
rnacentral:misc_RNA from 1 species